UAAUGCCCCUUUUCUAUUUAAUGCCCCUCCUUAGAGUACCCAAGAUUGAGGUUGAGACUCAUAAAGUAAGGUCUCCUGAUGUUGUGGUACCCACUCUUGAUACAGUGAGACACGAGAGUCUCCUCUAUACAUGGUUGGGGGAGCAUAAGCCGAUGGUACUGUGUGGUCCACCUGGCUCUGGUAAAACCAUGACACUGUUCUCUGCUUUUCAUGCACUGCCUGAUUUUGAAGUUGUUGGUCUUAAUGUCUCAUCAGCCACUACCCCUGAGCUAUUAUUAAAGAGGUUUGAUCAUUACUGUGAGUACAAGAGGACUCCCAAUGGAGUUGUGAUGGCUCCUUCUCAACUCGGAAAGUGGCUGUUUCUCUUCUGUGACGAGAUUAACCUUCCAGACCUUGACAAAUAUGGUACUCAGAGAGUAAUAUCGUUCUUACGUCAGAUUGUCGAGGACGGUGGAUUUUACAGAACCUCCGAUCACACGUGGGUGACAAUAGAGAGGAUACAGUUUGUAGGAGCGUGUAACCCACCAACUGACUGGGGAAGGAAACCACUGUCUCACAGCUGUGAAGGAAAUUAAGAAACUCCACCUGGUUGAAGUGAGGGCUCUGAACAACCCAUCAGGUCAUCAAGAUGGCACUGGAAAGCAUCUGCAUGCUAAUCGGAGAACCUUACACUGACUGGAAGAGUAUCAGACAGAUUAUAAUGAAGGAGAACUUUUUAUCACGCUAGUAAAACUUGUGGGCCUUUGGUGAAGUGGGCCAUUGCUCAAGACGUUGAGAGCUACGACCCAAUCCUGAACCCUGUGCUCAAUAGAGAAGUAAGGAAGACUGGAGGACG